CCUACGCGUGGCAGCAGUGGGGAAUAUUGGACAAUGGGGGGAACCCUGAUCCAGCGACGCCGCGUGAGUGAAGAAGUAUUUCGGUAUGUAAAGCUCUAUCAGCAGGGAAGAAAGAAAUGACGGUACCUGACUAAGAAGCCCCGGCUAACUACGUGCCAGCAGCCGAGGUAAUACGUAGGGGGCAAGCGUUAUCCGGAUUUACUGGGUGUAAAGGGAGCGUAGACGGCGAUGCAAGUCUGAAGUGAAAGGCGGGGGCCCAACCUCCGGACUGCUUUGGAAACUGUAUGGCUGGAGUGCAGGAGAGGUAAGUGGAAUUCCUAGUGUAGCGGUGAAAUGCGUAGAUAUUAGGAGGAACACCAGUGGCGAAGGCGGCUUACUGAACUGUAACUGACGUUGAGGCUCGAAAGCGUGGGGAGCAAACAGGAUUAGAUACCCGGGUAGUC
rnacentral:rRNA from 1 species